UACGGAGGGGGCUAGCGUUGUUCGGAAUUACUGGGCGUAAAGCGUACGUAGGCGGCUUUGUAAGUUAGAGGUGAAAGCCCGGGGCUUAACCCCGGAAUUGCCUUUAAGACUGCAUCGCUUGAAUCAUGGAGAGGUUAGUGGAAUUCCGAGUGUAGAGGUGAAAUUCGUAGAUAUUCGGAAGAACACCAGUGGCGAAGGCGACUGACUGGACAUGUAUUGACGCUGAGGUACGAAAGCGUGGGGAGCAAACAGG
rnacentral:rRNA from 1 species